AUACUUUGGUUACGUUUAUCACAAGUUUUAUACUUAGCAAAAAUAAUGGAAGAUGAUUAUUCUAUAGAAACACUUUUGGCUAAAGCCACCAAUCCUUUGAACUCUCAACCUAAUGAGGAAUCUGUAAAAGAAUUUUGUGACCAAGUUAACAAGGAGGAAGAUGGACAUCAGACAGCAUUGCGGUUUCUUGUUCACAAAAUACAGUCGCCCCAGGAAAGAGAAGCUCUGCUUUCACUUACGGUAGAAUGUGGUAGA